GUAGGUGAACCUGCGGAAGGAUCAUUACAGUCGGGGGCUCGACGCUCCACCCGUGGCUCCGGCCGCCGGUGGAGUGCGCCUGCCUGAAAACUCUUGUCUACCCUCUCCUAGUUGCUUUGGCGGGUCGUCUCCGGACCGUCGGGGGGCUCGCUCCCCCGGUGCGUGCCCGUCAAAGGCCCCCCUCAAAACCGUAUCAACGUGCUCUGUCUAAGCUAAAAAGAAAAUAAGAACAAAACUUUCAACAACGGAU
rnacentral:misc_RNA from 1 species